AUUGAACGCUGGCGGCAUGCUUUACACAUGCAAGUCGAACGGUAACAGGCCGCAAGGUGCUGACGAGUGGCGAACGGGUGCGUAAUGCAUCGGAACGUGCCCAGUCGUGGGGGAUAACUACUCGAAAGAGUAGCUAAUACCGCAUACGAUCUAUGGAUGAAAGCGGGGGACCGUAAGGCCUCGCGCGAUUGGAGCGGCCGAUGUCAGAUUAGGUAGUUGGUGGGGUAAAGGCUCACCAAGCCAACGAUCUGUAGCUGGUCUGAGAGGACGACCAGCCACACUGGGACUGAGACACGGCCCAGACUCCCACGGGAGGCAGCAGUGGGGAAUUUUGGACAAUGGGCGCAAGCCUGAUCCAGCAAUGCCGCGUGCAGGAAGAAGGUCUUCGGGUUGUAAACUGCUUUUGUACGGAACGAAACGGCUCUGGUUAAUACCCGGGGCUAAUGACGGUACCGUAAGAAUAAGCACCGGCUAACUACGUG
rnacentral:rRNA from 1 species